rnacentral:rRNA from 1 species
UACGGGGGGGGCAAGCGUUAUUCGGAAUUAUUGGGCGUAAAGGGCGCGUAGGCGGCUUGGCAAGUGGAAGGUGAAAUCCCUCGGCUUAACCGAGGAACUGCCCUCCAAACUGCUUAGCUUGAGACCGGGAGAGGUGAGUGGAAUUCCCAGUGUAGCGGUGAAAUGCGUAGAUAUUGGGAGGAACACCAGUGGCGAAGGCGGCUCACUGGACCGGUACUGACGCUGAUGCGCGAAAGCGUGGGGAGCAAACGGG